rnacentral:sRNA from 12 species
UUGCGCCUGCGGAGGACGCAGCGCAGCCCAUCCGGGGCCUUGCAGGCGGCCGGGCUGCGUACCGUCCCGUGAACCGCAAUUUUGCGGAUUCAAAAUCUUCCC